AGCACCCCUACGCAUCCGUCGUACUCGACGGGAUCCACGCACAAAAGAAUAGAAGAAAGGUUGCUAAAAACUGCUCACACACUGCACAUUUAUGCGAAGGGAAGGUAUUAGCACCCCUACGCAUCCGUCGUACUCGACGGGAUCCACGCACAAAAGAAUAGAAGAAAGGUUGCUAAAAACUGCUCACACACUGCACAAGGCUGGAAGGAAACACAGGAAGACAA
rnacentral:lncRNA from 1 species